rnacentral:lncRNA from 1 species
CGGGCAGUGGCGCAACGCGCCCAGGGUAGCGGGGGAGUUAGUGCCUCGGUGCGUUGCCUCUGGCUUCCGUUUCCACGGUUACGGCGGCGCGAGGCUGUGUCCCAGGAUGCUGUCCCGCGCACAAGUGUUCUGUGGCGCCACGAACUGCCCUGGACUCCCACACCCCUCUCCCUGCGUCUCCCAUCUGCGGCUUCACUCUUCUCUGCCCGCAAGUCACUGACAUGCAGCUCCUCGUCCGUGCCUGGGAGCUGCACACUCUUGACGUGACUGGUCUGGAGGCCUUUGCUCACAUCAAGGCAAAGACCCAUGUAGCCUCCCUGGAGGGCCACACCACUGAGGAUAAAGUCGUGCUUCUGGCAGGUUCUCCCCUGCGGAUGAAGCCAUCCUG